UCUCUUUCAUAUCCCUCAUAACGCGCCUAUAUAGGUUCUGCCAGCUUGCUGGCUAUGGUGAUAAAUGGUGCGUGGAAUAAUCGUUGUGGACCCGGGGGCAGUACCCGGCACCUCCACCAACUAUUCUGGGCGGCCCGAUUCAGACUACGCGCUCGUGCGCUUCGUCAUCGGGACGCCUCGGGUUAUUUGGGGGUGAAACAGGCUCGACACGCGUGGUAAAGACCCACCUUUUGCCCGGCAUUGUACCGCCGUUAUCGGGCUAUAACUUAAAUGCGAACGAUAACAACGUAGCAUUCGCGGUCGCUGCCUAAACAGCAGCUAAGCGCGGUUCGGGGGGCACCGGGCAACAGAAGCCCCCCACU
rnacentral:tmRNA from 1 species